rnacentral:piRNA from 1 species
UUCUGGAGUCAGAGUUGAAAGCCUUCAGCAA